rnacentral:rRNA from 1 species
AAAAACAUGUCCUUUAGAUUAUUAUAAUUAAAGGUCUAACCUGCCCGGUGAUUGACUUAAACGGCCGCAGUAUUUUGACUGUGCGAAGGUAGCAUAAUCAUUUGUCUUUUAAUUGGAGGCUAGUAUGAAUGGUUGGACGAGGGAUUAACUUUCUUUAUUUAAAUUUAAUGAAUUUGAUUUUUUAGUUAAAAAGCUUAAAUAUAUUUGCAAG